rnacentral:rRNA from 1 species
UACUAGAGUAGCACUCGCAUAUCAAUAAGCGGAGGAAAAGAAACUAACAAGGAUUCCCCUAGUAACGGCGAGUGAAGCGGGAAGAGCUCAAAUUUGAAAUCUUAAAGGGUUUCCCUUUACGAAUUGUAGUUUAAAGAAGUGUUUUCUGUUGAGGUUUUGGUAAAAGUUCUUUGGAAUAGGACAUCAUAGAGGGUGAGAAUCCCGUAUUUGACCUUUACUUUCAACUUUGUGAUACACUUUCAAAGAGUCGGAUUGUUUGGGAAUGCAGUCCAAAUGGGUGGUAAAUUUCAUCUAAAGCUAAAUAUUGGCGAGAGACCGAUAGCGAACAAGUACCGUGAGGGAAAGAUGAAAAGAACUUUGAAAAGAGAGUUAAACAGUACGUGAAAUUGUCAAAAGGGAAGCGUUUGACACCAGUGUUGUUUUUCUGAAAAUCAAUUAAAGAACUGUUUAUGCUAAGCUGUUUAGACUUUAUCAGCUAUCUGUUUAGUUUUGAGCUUUUCUUUAAUGCACUUUUCAGUUAACAAGUCAACAUCAAAUUCUUUUGCUGUAAAAAAGCUUGAGGAAGGUGGCUUGAGAUUCGUCUUAAGUGUUUAUAGCCUCUUGCCUAUGCAGUCGGAGAGAUUGAGGUCUGCAGCGUAGAUCCUUCGGGGCUAAAUGCAUUUGUGCUAAGUUAUAGCAUUUUAUAGACAACUUGUUGACUAUGAUUUGUCUUGUAGCUUACUCGCUUAUGUUAUUUUACCUACGCUUAGGAUGUUGAGUAGCGACAUACGCAC